CCUACGGGCGGCAGCAGUGGGGAAUAUUGCACAAUGGGGGAAACCCUGAUGCAGCGACGCCGCGUGAAUGAUGAAGUAUUUCGGUAUGUAAACUUCUGUGAUCAGGGAAGAAAAUGACGGUACCUGACUAAGAAGCCCCGGCUAACUACUUACCAGCAGCCGCGGUAAUACGUAGGGGGCAAGCGUUAUCCGGAUUUACUGGGUGUAAAGGGGGAGUAGACGGUAUUGCAAGUCGGAUGUGAAAUCCCGGGGCUCAACCCCGGCACUGCAUUGGAAACUACCGAACUAGAGUGUCGGAGAGGCAAGUGGAAUUCCUAGUGUAGCGGUGAAAUGCGUAGAUAUUAGGAGGAACACCAGGGGCGAAGGCGGCUUGCUGGACUAUGACUGACGUUGAGGCUCGAAAGCGUGGGGAGCAAACAGGAUUAGAUACCCGAGUAGUC
rnacentral:rRNA from 1 species